ensembl:lncRNA
UUGACAUUUAAAAUUGUUAAGGUAAGGGUUACGGUUAGGUAAGGGUUAAGGUUAUGUUUAGGGUAAGGGUUAAGGUUCUAGGGUAGGGACGUCCCAAGGAUUCAGAAUAGCACUCCGUUGAACUGCUUCGAAACAUCUUCAUGGACUUUUGAAUUAAAUGGCAGUCUCGCAUAGUCGCUUCACUCCCGACAGCUCCACUAGAAUGCAACAAAGAGGUACCCCCUUACCAUCAGGUUCCCACAGCAACCACCUCUGAGGUCAACUGAAGUGUGCAAGUCUCUCUUGUACUAAGGAGUUGUGAAUGAGACUGCCAUUGCUCCGGUCCAGAACAAACCUCACUGGACACCUCAGGCAGAGGGAGACUUCCCCAUGAAUGGAGCCCCUGCACUCCAGGAGUCUUUGCUAAAACAGAGAGAGCGACCAGAAGACUACAGCCGGAACCAGCCCUUUGGCUUUCAAACUCAAUUCAACUUCAAAUAUCUUUACAAAUAACAGACUGCAAUCAUCUGAGAAAGAGAGUGAGGAAUAAGCAUCAGAGACACUAUUGAAGCCAGACUCUGGUCUGGCGGUAAGACACCCAUACACAGUGAGCCUGCCCCUGCUGUCCUCCGAUGGAGACCCCGGGUAGAGCAAGACGCUGCUGCAACGUUACAGUAGGUUAUGGAUUCUGACUGAUUGGACGAGUGUUGUGAUGCAACAUUCUCCCUCUGUAAGAAUGCAGUGAGCUCACACAUCACACAGAUGUUUUCAAUCAAUAUUUGUUGACACAAAGCACCAUUAGUUUACUGAUCACAUUUGCAUAAACAUUUUGCGAUUUUCUUAUUUACCUUGCAUGUUUUCUAAAUUGGUUUUUCAUACCGAGUUUACAUACAGUGGCCCUGGAAGUACAAACAUGUGUAGAACAUAAGUACUAUGGGGCCUAAGUACCA